rnacentral:rRNA from 1 species
GCAAGUCGAGGGGCAGCACGAGAGCUUGCUCUUGGUGGCGACCGGCGCACGGGUGCGUAACGCGUAUGCAACCUACCCUAUACAGGGAGAUAGCCCAGAGAAAUUUGGAUUAAUAUCCCAUAAUGUUAUAAUACAGCAUUGUAUAAUAAUUAAAGAUUUAUCGGUAUAGGAUGGGCAUGCGUAUGAUUAGCUAGUUGGUGAGGUAAUGGCUCACCAAGGCAAUGACGCUUAACUGGUUUGAGAGGAUGAUC